GGUUCAUGUGCUUGGCUGAUAAGCCAAUGGUGCGAAGCUACCAUCUGAGGGAUUAUGACUGAACGCCUCUAAGUCAGAAUCCCGCCUGGAAAGCGACGAUGCAUUCGUGCCUCGGCCUCGAGAGGCGUAGCUAGACGGCCGCGUGGCCGUGGAAAGAGCCCGAUUCCGACCCGAGAGGCCGCGGCAAGAGGCGGCCUCGAAGUCGGUGGAUCCUCCUGCUCGAAAGGCGGGGUGCUAAACCAUUCGCAGACGACCUAGUUGAAGAUCGGGGUGUCGUGAUCACUAGAGCAGUACAUCUCACUGCGAUUUGUUGAGAGUAAGCCUCAAGAUCUGUCGGUUUGU
rnacentral:ncRNA from 1 species